rnacentral:tRNA from 1 species
GGGCGGUCUUGAAAACCGUUAGGGUGCAAGCCCACGGGGGUUCGAAUCCCUCUCCCUCCG